UGACACCAGAAUAAUUACCCCAUUUGCUGUCCAGGCAGGAAACCAAUAAAACCUUUCACCGGAAUGGAGCCAAUGUAAAUUGUCUGAAACGUAAAACACCUGGCUUUAUUUAAGAAAAUACACAAUCACUAAACCCAGACAAAUGUUAAUUGGAAUGGAGAACAGCAAAUGACAAGCGUAGCCAUGGGAAUAGGACAUGGGAAGAACACUGGCAGCAGCACGAUCCAGCCCAGUGAUCUCAUUCAACGUCCAAAAGUUCCAAAUCUAUGCACAAACACCAUUGCAAUUUUUAAGACUCUGUAGGAAAA